UAAAAACAAAUAAAAAAAAAAAAAUUGACAACCUUCUUAGGGGAUUGAACAAUUGGUUUUUUGUUUUCCAGCAAUUAUGUGGAUAUAUUUGGAAGGUACUUAUAAGACCUAGAACUCAAUGAAUCCCCAUGCCUGUGUACAUAUAUGUGCAUGUGCGCUUUUUUCUAUUUGUAUGACUUUAAAGUUUUGUGAUUCUUGUUCUUGAACUCUAGGGGAACUUAAAAAUAUAACUUAAAACUCAUGAACUUUGAAAUUUUGUACCGUAAAAUUCUUCUAACCCUCAAUAGCCAAUUUAUAAGUAAUACGCUGAUAUAGACUAUUCUGAGUGACGAUAAUAUUAACGAUUGCAUUAUUUUUCGGAGAUAAAGUCUCUCUAAUUAGCUACUAUACGUCUAACACUUCAUUAUUUCGUAUGGCUGAAAUUCUUUCAUAGUUAAUUUGUGAAGAAAAUCAUAACUGGUUUUGUCAUUGUCACAUAGAGAAGAGAAAAUUGUCCUCUCUCCGUCGCUUUGGACUAUAUAAACCGGCUAUUGCCAAUCAAAAGGAUUUUAUUGUAUAAAAUUUCAAAGUUCAAGGGAUUUUAUGUUACAUUUUUA
rnacentral:misc_RNA from 1 species